GAGUAAGGCAACCGCUGUUUAUGCUUUUUCACAAUGAAAAAGCAUAAAGAGAGGAAAGUCUGGACUUCAUAAGAAAAGAUACUGGAGAAACUCCAGGGGCCGUGAGGCUACGGAAAGUGCAACAGAAAACAUUCCGCUAUAAAAUGAAAGUUUUAUAGACAGGCUGAAAAUUCCUACUUUAGGAGUAGGAGCUAUUAAGGUGACUUAAUAGACAUGCAAACCCUAUCUGAAGCAAGAGAAAAAAGCUUUUUUGUUUCUGCAAAAUUGAGAAGUUUUCUUCUCAUAAGUUUUUUCAUAAUCGCUUGAGGGAUUUAGAGAUAGAUCCCCUAGAUGAAUGGUUGCCCUCAGGGAGACGUUUGUCCAUCCUGCAGACAGAAYCCGGCUUACUCGCUC
rnacentral:RNase_P_RNA from 15 species